rnacentral:rRNA from 1 species
AUUGAACGCUGGCGGCAGGCUUAACACAUGCAAGUCGAGCGGGGGAAGGUAGCUUGCUACCGGACCUAGCGGCGGACGGGUGAGUAAUGCUUAGGAAUCCGCCUAUUAGUGGGGGACAACAUCUCGAAAGGGAUGCUAAUACCGCAUACGUCCUACGGGAGAAAGCAGGGGAUCUUCGGACCUUGCGCUAAUAGAUGAGCCUAAGUCGGAUUAGCUAGUUGGUGGGGUAAAGGCCUACCAAGGCGACGAUCCGUAGCGGGUCUGAGAGGAUGGUCCGCCACACUGGGACUGAGACACGGCCCAGACUCCUACGGGAGGGAGCAGUGGGGAAUAUUGGACAAUGGGGGGAACCCUGAUCCAGCCAUGCCGCGUGUGUGAAGAAGGCCUUAUGGUUGUAAAGCACUUUAAGCGAGGAGGAGGCUACUCUAGUUAAUACCUAGGGAUAGUGGACGUUACUCGCAGAAUAAGCACCGGCUAACUCUGUGCCAGCAGCCGCGGUAAAAC